GUUGGUGACCAGCGGAGGGAUCAUUACCGAGUUUACACUCCCAAACCCCUGUGGACCUAUACCUCUACUGUUGCCUCGGCGGGCACGGCCGCGGACGCCCCCUCGCGGGGGCGCCGGGGCUAGGCGCCCGCCGGGGGACCCAAACCCUUCUGUAUUUUCUUACGCAUGUCUGAGUGGAUUUAAUAUCGAAUGAAUCAAAACUUUCAACAACGGAUCUCUUGGUUCUGGCAUCGAUGAAGAACGCAGCGAAAUGCGAUAAGUAAUGUGAAUUGCAGAAUUCAGUGAAUCAUCGAAUCUUUGAACGCACAUUGCGCCCGCCAGUAUUCUGGCGGGCAUGCCUGUUCGAGCGUCAUUUCAACCCUCAAGCCCGCUGCGCGCUUGGUGUUGGGGACCGGCUCACCCGCCUCGCGGCGGCGGCCGCCCCUGAAAUGAAUCGGCGGUCUCGUCGCAGCCUCCUUUGCGUAGUAACACACCACCUCGCAACCGGGAGCGCGGCGCGGCCACUGCCGUAAAACGCCCAACUUCUCCAAGAGUUGACCUCGAAUCAGGUAGGACUACCCGCGGAACUUAAGCAUAUCAAUAAGCGGAGGAAAAGAAACCAACAGGGAUUGCCCCAGUAACGGCGAGUGAAGCGGCAACAGCUCAAAUUUGAAAUCUGGCCCCCCGGGGCCCGAGUUGUAAUUUGCAGAGGAUGCUUUUGGCGAGGCGCCUUCCGAGUUCCCUGGAACGGGACGCCACAGAGGGUGAGAGCCCCGUCUGGUCGGAUGCCGAGCCUCUGUAAAGCUCCUUCGACGA
rnacentral:rRNA from 1 species